rnacentral:rRNA from 1 species
UUUAUUGAGAGUUUGAUCCUGGCUCAGGACGAACGCUGGCGGCGUGCUUAACACAUGCAAGUCGAGCGAUGAAGCUUCUUCGGAAGUGGAUUAGCGGCGGACGGGUGAGUAACACGUGGGUAACCUGCCUCAUAGAGGGGAAUAGCCUUCCGAAAGGAAGAUUAAUACCGCAUAAGAUUGUAAUAUCGCAUGAUAUAGCAAUUAAAGGAGCAAUCCGCUAUGAGAUGGACCCGCGUCGCAUUAGCUAGUUGGUGAGGUAACGGCUCACCAAGGCGACGAUGCGUAGCC